rnacentral:rRNA from 1 species
ACUCCUACGGGAGGCAGCAGUGGGGAAUAUUGCACAAUGGGCGCAAGCCUGAUGCAGCCAUGCCGCGUGUAUGAAGAAGGCCUUCGGGUUGUAAAGUACUUUCAGCAGUGAGGAAGGGUGGGUGUAGUUAAUNGCAUACUUCAUUGACGUUAGCUGCAGAAGAAGCACCGGCUAACUCCGUGCCAGCAGCCGCGGUAAUACGGAGGGUGCGAGCGUUAAUCGGAAUUACUGGGCGUAAAGCGCAUGCAGGUGGUUUGUUAAGUCAGAUGUGAAAGCCCGGGGCUCAACCUCGGAAUUGCAUUUGAAACUGGCAAACUAGAGUACUGUAGAGGGGGGUAGAAUUUCAGGUGUAGCGGUGAAAUGCGUAGAGAUCUGAAGGAAUACCGGUGGCGAAGGCGGCCCCCUGGACAGAUACUGACACUCAGAUGCGAAAGCGUGGGGAGCAAACA